CGGAAAUACAAUUGAGAAGUGUUAAAAAUAUUUACACCAUAGUAAGUCAUUGUUGGCAAAUAUUCUGAUCAACUAUUCAAAAGUGUCAGGUUAUAUCUGUAUAGAUCAAAUUGCGUAUCAUGGAGAAAAUCUACAGUUUACUUUUCAUAAUGGCAUGCACUGUCACCGUCAAUGGAUGCCCUUCCGUAUGUUUGUGCUCGGGCACGACUGUUAAUUGCAACUCCAGCUCUCUUACGACAGUUCCAUUUAAUAUACCGAGCUCAACAAUUAGAUUGCGAAUGGGGCACAAUCAGAUUACCAGGCUAUAUGGAAAAUCUUUUGAACAGUUGACUGCUCUUAAAGUCUUGGAAUUGCAGUACAAUACGAUUACCAGGCUAUAUGGAAAAUCUUUUGAACAGUUGACUGUUCUUCAAGGCUUGU